UACGGGGGGGCAAGCGUUGUUCGGAAUUACUGGGCGUAAAGGGCGCGUAGGCGGCCUGUUAAGUCGGAUGUGAAAUCCCUCGGCUCAACCGAGGAACUGCCUCCGAUACUGGCGGGCUGGAAUCCGGGAGAGGGAUGUGGAAUUCCAGGUGUAGCGGUGAAAUGCGUAGAUAUCUGGAGGAACACCGGUGGCGAAGGCGGCAUCCUGGACCGGUAUUGACGCUGAGGCGCGAAAGCUAGGGGAGCAAACGGG
rnacentral:rRNA from 1 species